GCUACAGCUGCUGUGUUUUCCACUGGUUCAAUUGGCAGUUACCUACUGUGUGGAGUUGCUAGGAGAAGGACAGUUAUCAUGGGGUCUACUGCUACAGAAAUCGAGGAGCUGGAAAACACCUCUUUUAAGUACCUUAUAGGAGAACAGACUGAAAAAAUGUGGCAACAGCUGAAAGGAAUGUGGGUGGAAAUAUUAUAAAGUAGUUGUGACUUCACCUUCUUUGUCAAUUUCACCAGAGAAAUAGUGUGUGGUCUUUGGCCAUAAGCUGGG
rnacentral:lncRNA from 1 species